CACAGAGUAUAAGAAAGGUACCUAAAUGAUGAAACCAACUAGAAUGUACAUAAAGAUGAAAAAAAAAAUGAAAUCUUCUAAUGGACGUACUGGGAUGAUCCCACAAUAAAGAUAUUUGGUUGAAUCCUAUAAAACCAUUUCAUAGAAGUUCAUUGAAAUAUUUGUUUUUAGUAAAUUCUUUUUGUGUAAGACCCAUGGUAUUGGGCCUUAGUUUUUGCUAAGGCCUAAUUCUCUCUCUCUCUCUUUCGUGCUCUCUCUAGGUUUCACCGUACAAUGCGCAUGCACUCUUUGCUCUUUUCCAUCUUUUGGUUCACUACAAAUUGAAGAAGAUUCUAGCUCUAGGCAUAGGAGAUCAUCAAUCAAUUUUUCAGGGGCUUGAUUUCAAAAGUUAAUGAAAAGGAGACGGUUUAAUCAAAGCACAAUUGUUGUUAAUUGAAGGUAGCAAAGCUGCUGGUGAUUCUCAGGAUGUCCCCUGUGAGACCUGGUUGACCAAUUUAAUUUGCAAUAGCACUGUGAGUGUGAUACUGUUAUAAUGGUACUUUAGCGUUCACUUUGCAUUUUUACUUAUUUAGUGUGACAUUAACUUUUCAAAAUAAGUGUUAAAAUUUCAUUCACAAAACUGCAUAAAAAUGGGGAAGUAAGAGUCCAUUUCUUUGACCAUGUGUAACUGUUAUCAUUAUUGUUUCAUGAAGCAAUUGUCAAUACUGCUGAUGGUGGGGAUUGAAACAGAUUUAUUGUACUAUGCAUUUUAACAUUUACCCAGUAAUAUUAUAAAUUAUUGUAUCUCAUGACAAGAGAGUAUUCAUGUUAGAACCUGUAUGCUAACACUAGUAAGUGUUAGCCAAUAGUCCACUACUUACUGUCCCAGUUAGCAGGGUAGUGCUAACCCCAGUGCGUAGGCUAACACAUUUGGGUAUUGAUUGUUAUGAGGCUGAGGCUUAUUAUUGUAUUGAUUGAGAUGUUGAACUGAUUGUUGUACCAUGCUGAUUAACUGUUGUUCUUCUUGAUUACUCCCUCAUGGCAUAUGUAUGUUUUGCAUUCAUUGUUGAUUGAUCCCUUAUCCCUAUCCCGUUAUACUUACUGUCAUGGCAUUCUCAUUAUCUAUUUGUUGCAUGUAUUCUUAUUUUCCCCAAUAUAAUGUCUUUUUAUCCUUCACUAGGUCAGUUGAGAUUUACCCCAGUUUUUCAUAUUUUCUGUGUUCCCCCUCCCAAUCUUUUACUAGUAGGUAGACCUGGACUAUCAAAGCACAAAGACUGUGGUAUGAGCUUUUCUCUGACUAUACCUUAGGCAUGCUCGUGGUACUGUUCUUGUUGCACAAGCUUUAGGUAGUACACUGACUAGGGGUGAUGUUAAUCACUCAUUGAUUAAGGGAUGAUUCGUACAGAUUUAUUGGUUACUUAAUUUGGAAUUGUUAAUGUGACAUAAAAAAUCUUGAUUAAUCAAUAAUAUUUAAUUUUCAAUACUCGUAUUAUAUGAUAAACUUAAUGAAUAAACUGUAUCCAGAUUGAUAUAGUACUAAACUGUAUGAAUUGAGGCUUGCUACCCAUAACGGGGUAGAUGGUCCUCUUAAAGUGUAGUGCCAGUCAUGGCCCAAUUUUGAGUCAUGGCAUUUUGACUCUUUAAUGAUCCACAUAUUGAAACAAUAAAACAUAUUUAAAUAUUAAUUAUUACUCAACAAAGAAAAAUCAAAAUAAAAUUGUUUAAACAAUCCUCAACCCCUACGUAGAAAAGGGAAAAAAGUAAAGUGAUAUGAUGAUUUUUUGUCCCUACCAUACCAAAAGGAUUGAUUAUAUGAUUUCUGUUUAGUUUCCAAGCUCACCAUUAGCUAGUUAUUUACCUUCCCAAUCACCAGAUCAAUGAAAAAGAGGAGAUUUAGAGACAAUAACAGAUUCAGGACCACUAAUGGUGGGCAACUACAACUAAUAAUCAACUAUUCGUAUUGAAUAAAUAUGUCACAUACAAACAGGUAGGCAAGUUUCACCUGG